GCAGGGUUGAAAUUAACACCCGCCAAUCACCAAAUACGGGUAGAUUUUCUGUUUGGCGAGUAAAUCUCAGAAGGCUAUCUGCCACACUGGCGGGUAAAUGUUUGUACCAAAAUAGUCAUGUAAUAAUAUCUGGCAUGAUGGCUCGGAGGAAAUGUUUGCCAGCCACAGACCGUCUCUAGUGCUCCUAGUUUCGCGGCACUGUUUACCGCACGGUACAUCAGCUACUCAACAUCGCUCACUUGCCACGGGUCUGUUGCUAGCUACUGUUCAUUAAAUAGCUGUUAUGUGGCGACAUUUACCUGAAGUAAGCCAACCAUUGAAACGAAAACACGCAGACAAAGGACAAAUCACAUUAAAAAAAUAACGUUUUGUGAGAAAUGGAGGUUUGGAGAUCGUGGUUUCAAGAGGCUGGCUACAGUGUGAUGCUGAGGCUGUGGUGAUGAGUUCUGUGUGUCACCAGUAUGCUAAAGCUAAAAGCAGAAACAACUCAUUUGUCAUCAAGAAAUUAAACAAUGAAGCUGGAGAACAUUCGUGACCAUGAACACAGCAAGUGUCACAUUGCCUACGUGUCUGUGUCCCGGACUAAAUUGUGUCCCGGAGCCUCUUCUCUUGACACCCUCUGUGACGGCGCUAAUGGCAAUGUCAGAGCAGACCAGCACGAAGAUGAAGAUACUGUUUAAGACUGUACAUGCCAUUGGCAAGAAGACGAGACCACUUUCUGACUUCAAGUGGAUGUGUGAGUAAGUGAAAAUGUUGUUACUCUUGUAGCUUGACUAAUACUUCUGUAGCUAGUUUUUUCAAGUCUAUUUAGCAGAUGUGGUCCAGUUUAUUUCUCAGCUCUUGAUAAGCUUUGGUUCACAUCCAAAUAGUGUAUAAAUAUCAUAACAUUAUAGGCCUACUGAUGCUGACAUGGAUCUCCAUGCUUUCCUAUGGCUCUGUAAUAUUCUAUUUUAAUGUUUGUCUCCAGAUGGUGUUUACAUUUUAAAGCAUUGACACAAUUGACUUUACCAGCCUUAUGGUGUUGAUCCUGAAGUAAACAAAGGGUAGAAGGCUAAUUUAGCACAAUCAACUGCCAGCUAUAUUGGAUAAUAUGGUUCUAUAUUUAAUUAUCGAAUUAAUUUGAUGUUUGAUUUUUGCAGUUUAGAUGAAAAAACAAGGAAUCGCUGUGGGCUCAACAUAUAGAAACGAGAAGCAGGCCAAAGAGUUUAUGCACCAUAUUGCAGAGGUGGAGAGAAACAACAUCAGAGCGAAUAUGAGAAACACCACAUUUCUCUCCAUGUCAGAUGGCUCCACAGACAGUUCUGUGAAAAAGGAGUUUGUCACAUUCUGUCAUAAGGGCAAGAUCGAGUCGAAGUUUGUUGGCAUCAAGUCGGUGGAGAAGGCAGACGUGGCACACGUAAGCAACGCCAUCGUGGAGGGAGUGUGAUGAGUGGGGCCGUCAGUGCCAUCGUGGAGGGAGUGUGUGAUGAGUGGGGGAGCAAGUUAUUCGCUCUGGGAACAGAUGGAGCUGCUGUGAUGACCAGAGCCAAGAAUGGUGUGGUCAUCCGGCUGAAGGGGGACAGGGCCAUCAUUGGCAUCCACUGUAUGGCACACCGCCUUCAACUGACCUUUUCUGAUGCCAUCUGGUUCAACGUGAUGUUUCAGAAAGUAGAAGACCUCCCCAGUGGGCUCUAUACCAGCCCACUGAACAGUGAAAACCUGGUAAACAGCUUCCAGGCUCUUUGGGGGCACACCACUGGUGCCCACCAGAAUUGGCGGGACCCGAUGGGUAGGACACCUAUUGCGUGCACUGGACCACUUCCUGCGAGGUUACCAGGGGCGUGUCCAGCACCUGGAACAGGUAGUGGCUCUAGAUUGCUAUGUUAAGUACUCCAAAAGUCAUCAAUAUGUAAUGUCCAGUAAAUAACAACAAACACGGUUAAAAUUGGUAACAUCGUGUUUCAAUGCUUUAUGCACUGAUAAAAUGUCAUGUCUAAUUAAGUUUUUUUUUUGGACAGCAAUUGUCUAUUUGUGUGUCUUUGAAUCUGAAAUACAUAAAGAACAAUCUGCUGAUGCCCAAAAUGUCUGAGGUGUCCAGCAGUCCAAGGCCAGGAAAUACUACAGUACUACGAGGGAGGCUGUUGUCUGCUUCUGUGGCUUCCUGCAUGACACACUAACACACCUGAACAACCUGUCUGCCUGUCUGCAGAGGUUCACCAUCACCAUAGCUGCCUGUCUGCAGAGGUUCACCACAGCAGAAGCCCACAGCUCCUUGUGCUCAACACAGGCAUUACUUAAGAAGUACAAAACCAGAUUUUGGAGACACUGAACUGGACACCCUGGUGAACCACUUCCUGUCCUGGAGACCUCUGGCAUCCAUGUUGAAAGGAUCCCUGACCAGUGGACUGUCCUGAAAGUGCUGAUGUACCAAGAGCCCCAGUCCCCUGCAGAAGAUGUCCUGGUUCUAUAUCAACAGUAGCCAUCAGCAGUCCUGCCCUGAUUUGCUGGCAUUGGUUGACCUGGUCCCCUCCUUCCCUGCAUCCACAGCUGAAUGUGAAAGAAGUUUUAAUACCAUGAAACAGGUGAAAACCGAUUGGCGGUCCAACCUAAAGUCUGAUACACUGUCAGAUCUUAUGGUCCAGCUGUCCUCUCCAGAGAUCAGGGAGUAUGAUCCGAUUAAAGCUGUGAUGCUGUGGCACCAGGACUCUGUCAGGAGUAGGAGGCCAGACUUCAUGGACUGUGCAAAAGAGGGUGAUUGUAGUAGAGAGUGAGGAGUCUGAGGAGGUUUAAGUUUAUUUAAAUGAUUAAGCAUCUGAUAGGUUUACAAAACCUUCAAAUGUACUGUUAUGUUUGAUCCUUAAGUACAUUUAAUAGCAAAUACUUCAGUAGAAUUUUGAGUUCAAGACUUAAGUUGUAUUCAGGCUGGGAAAUGAAAUGUAGCCACAGCCAAAAUUAACCAGCGUCUGAUAAGUCUCUAUUUUACCAGGGUAUUUCUACUCAAAGUAAAGGAUUUGUAGACCUGUUUCCCCUUUGUAUCAGUUCCACUGCACUUCUCAUAAUUGUAUCUUACCAUUGUUGUUGCCUUGUUUUGACUUCUAUGUGCUCUUAUUCAUUGUAUCUGAUAUGUUUAGUUUAUUUCAUUGUGUGCCCACUGUUUGGUGUUUUUUCACUCUGUACGGCACGUUUGGUCAACUACAGUUGUAUUUAAAUGUGCUCUACAAAUAAACUGUUGAUCAAUAUAUUAAAAUUUUGUUUCAAA